rnacentral:rRNA from 1 species
ACGUUAGCGGCGGACGGGUGAGUAACACGUGGGUAACCUACCUAUAAGACUGGGAUAACUUCGGGAAACCGGAGCUAAUACCGGAUAAUAUUUCGAACCGCAUGGUUCGAUAGUGAAAGGUGGUUUUGCUAUCACUUAUAGAUGGACCCGCGCCGUAUUAGCUAGUUGGUAAGGUAACGGCUUACCAAGGCGACGAUACGUAGCCGACCUGAGAGGGUGAUCGGCCACACUGGAACUGAGACACGGUCCAGACUCUUACGGGAGGCAGCAGCG